rnacentral:rRNA from 1 species
UACGAAGGGGGCUAGCGUUGCUCGGAAUUACUGGGCGUAAAGGGCGCGUAGGCGGCACUGUUAGUCAGGCGUGAAAGUCCUGGGCUCAACCUGGGAACUGCGCUUGAUACGGCAGAGCUAGAGGAUGGAAGAGGCUCGCGGAAAUUCCCAGUGUAGAGGUGAAAUUCGUAGAUAUUGGGAAGAACACCGGGUGGGCGAAGGCGGCUCGC